AACGUAGGUGGCGAGCGUUAUCCGGAUUUACUGGGCGUAAAGCGUGUGCAGGCGGCUUAUCAAGUGGUGUAUGAAAUAUCCAGCUCAACCUGGAGGGGUUAUGCCAGACUGGUAGGCUAGAGUGCGAGAGGAGGGGCGUGGAAUUCCGGGUGUAGUGGUGAAAUGCGUAGAGAUCCGGAGGAACCCCAGAGGCGAAGGCGGCGCCCUGGCUCGACACUGACGCUCAGACACGACAGCAUGGGGAGCGAACGGGG
rnacentral:rRNA from 1 species